rnacentral:misc_RNA from 1 species
GAAAUGCGAUAAGUAAUGUGAAUUGCAGAAUUCAGUGAAUCAUCGAAUCUUUGAACGCACCUUGCGCUCCUUGGUAUUCCUUGGAGCAUGCCUGUUUGAGUAUCAUGAAAUCUUCAAAGUAAAUCUUUUGUUAACUCAAUUGGUUUCUACUUUGGUAUUGGAGGUCUUUGCAGCUUCACACCUGCUCCUUUGUUCAUUAGCUGGAUCUCAGUGUUAUGCUUGGUUCCACUCGGCGUGAUAAGUUAUCUAUCGCUGAGGACACUGUAAAAGGUGGCCAAGGUAAAUGCAGAUGAACCGCUUCUAAUAGUCCAUUGACUUGGACAAUACUUUUAUGAUCUGAUCUCAAAUCAGGUAGGACUACCCGCUGAACUUAAGC